UACGAAGGGUGCAAACGUUGCUCGGAAUUAUUGGGCGUAAAGCGCACGUAGGCGGCUUGGCAAGUCGGAUGUGAAAUCCCUCGGCUCAACCAAGGAAGUGCAUCCGAAACUGCUGAGCUUGAGUACUUAAGAGGAUCGCGGAAUUCCCGGUGUAGAGGUGAAAUUCGUAGAUAUCGGGAGGAACACCAGUGGCGAAGGCGGCUCG
rnacentral:rRNA from 1 species